rnacentral:rRNA from 1 species
GUUGAACGCUGGCGGCAUGCCUUACACAUGCAAGUCGAACGGUAACAGGUUAAGCUGACGAGUGGCGAACGGGUGAGUAAUGUAUCGGAACGUGCCCAGUCGUGGGGGAUAACUGCUCGAAAGAGCAGCUAAUACCGCAUACGACCUGAGGGUGAAAGCGGGGGAUCGCAAGACCUCGCGCGAUUGGAGCGGCCGAUAUCAGAUUAGGUAGUUGGUGGGGUAAAGGCCUACCAAGCCUACGAUCUGUAGCUGGUCUGAGAGGACGACCAGCCACACUGGGACUGAGACACGGCCCAGACUCCUACGGGAGGCAGCAGUGGGGAAUUUUGGACAAUGGACGCAAGUCUGAUCCAGCCAUGCCGCGUGCGGGAAGAAGGCCUUCGGGUUGUAAACCGCUUUUGUCAGGGAAGAAAAGGUUCUGGUUAAUACCUGGGACUCAUGACGGUACCUGAAGAAUAAGCACCGGCUAACUACGUGCCAGCAGCCGCGGUAAAAC